GAAAUCCGGACCCACGUGAUAUAUGUUCUUGUGAAAAUAUUAAUUAGCGAGCCUUGGUUGUUUGGAAGAACUGUGGCCAGGAGGGUACAAAUGAUAGAGAGCAAAAACCAUGUCUGAAUACAUUCCGGCAAAGUAAAACCCUGCAACGGAAUUACCAACGGCACAAGCCCAAACAAGGUCGCCUGUGCAUGUGCUCAACUGAAAGUCACACCACUGUCAUUCCCUAGAAACAGAUUCCUCACAACGUGGCAGCUUCUCUGGGACAGCAAGGAAAAUGCAAAGGGAAGGCCNACAGCACACAGCACUCCAAGGCUCUCAACUGGGCGUUAUCCAAAACACGUUGCUGCGGGUGCAAAGCAUGGACGUGGGGUACAACCGCCCUCACUUCAAUGCACUAGUAGUUGAAGCCCAGAAAGGUUACGUCAAUUAUCCAAAGUCACAAAGCUGGCAAGGGGAAGUUUCAGUUAAACUCUAGCUGGUCUGGCUCCCCUGUGAGGCAUCAAACCCAGCACUGUGUGAACUCGCCUCUUUGUGAAUUUGGGGCCGAUGAAAGGUGAGCCAGCUCAACGAUGAGCUGGUGUCAGGGCACCUGUACUCACAGUGGCAGGGCUGGAACUUAGGGGACAGACGCCGGAAGUUCUUUUCCGAAGAAGGCUAACAUCUGAACGAGCUAUUAAAGCAUCUCCAUUCAAUUUUAUUAAAGUAGACUUUAUACUAAAAAUUUAUAUUGGAGAUAUACACACACAUAUAUAUAUGUAGAUGGAUAGGUAUCUCUAAUAAACCCAGACGACUAUACAGAAAGCCUCUCAGCAAGUUUUCACUUUUCAUCCUCCCACCUCUUUGGAAGGUGUAAAAUUCACCCCCGGAAGUUGGGCUUGGCCAUAUAACUGGCUUUGGCGAAUGAAAGGAGAAUGAAAGUGAUGGCUGUGCUCACCCCGAGUCCAGCCCUUCUGAGGCAUCAGGGGCUACCGUUUACACCCCGGGAAGAACGUGCCCUCAAUCACCACCUACGGCCUGACCUCCAGGACUGCUGAGGCGAGGCCACAGAAAGCAGCCCGGAGAUGGGGACUCGCCAGCCACUCCGCUCCGUCUGGGGAGGCUCCUUAGGCAGCAAGAGCACACAGUGGAGACGGAGACGGGCUGGGGGAACAAAGGCCAAGCGAUACCAAAGUGAGCAGAGAGCAGUGUGAACGGCGUGUACAGAGGGGCAGACCUCGCAAGGAUUCUUGAGAAAGGAUCAAGAUGCUCGAACCAGUAUUUUCACCUGGUCCCUGAUUUCAGGGUUCGGCAGCCUCCCACCUGCACCAAGACAAAACGCAAAGACACCUGCCGGCGUACUUUCACGUCCAGGGCCUCAGAUCAAGAGAAAUAUGCUAUAAAGGCAAAUACAAAUCGCAUCCUGGCUCUCUUCUGAACUGACAGCCAUGUCUUUUGGGAGAAGAACGUCAACUGUGGGGUACAGAUUUUGGACAAAAGAAAGAAAACCGGACAUCCCGUGAGUUCUUGAUAAUCACAGGAGCAUUAUUUGUUGCAGAAGAGUUGGUGAAACGAAGAAGAACUGGAAUGGAAGCCGGUGAAAAGCC
ensembl:lncRNA